AAGUACAUAAAUAACUAAGUGUAAAUGUCAUGCAGAUGCAGUUUAAAGGCCAAAUGUUAUCUUCAGAUAAGGCAGGAAGUCAAUUUUAAUGAUAAAUAGAGACACAAAGGACUGCAGAUGCUGGAAUCUGGAGUAGCACUAAAAGUGUCAAAGGAACUCAGUGAGUCAGGCAGAAUUAGAAUCAGUUUUAGUAGCACCAGCAUAUGUUAAGAAAUUUGUUGUUUUGCAGCAGCAGUACAUAAUAACACAGGGAAAAACAUGAAUUACAAUAAGUAUAUGUAUAAAUAGUUAAAUUAAAUAAGUAGUGCAAAAAUAAAAAUAAAAACGUAGUGAGGUAGUGUUUAUGUGUUCAAUAUCCAUUCAGAAAUAAGAUAGCAAAGGGAAGAAGUUGUUCCUGAAUCAUCGAGUGUGUGCCUUCAUCCUUCUGUACGUCCUGUCUGAUGACAGCAAUGUGAACAAGCCUUUUUGAGGCAUUGCUCCUUGAAGAUGUCCUGGAUGCUAUGGAGGUAUCAGUUCAGUCUUCCUGAGAGUGAACCUGUGGUGAGCACCUGGCCUAGAUAUUGUCCCCCUAGCUGUGAUCUUCAGAUCCUGCAUGGAUCAGCUGGAGGAAAUAUUUGCAGACAUUUUUACCCUCUCCAUACUCCAAGCCGAGGCUUUGAUCUGCUUUAAGAAGACCAUUAUCAUCUCGCUCUCAGGCAUGGAGGUGCCAGAAACGACCAGGAGUGAAAAUGAAGCGAUUUCACUAUUUCAGCAAGUUAGAAACUACAAGCAAUUUGGAGGUAUCGACAAUCAUCUUGACUGUUAAAAUAAAAAUGAAGAUUUGGACGACGUAAUUGGCAAUAGCAUUGCAUGAAAGCCCAAUUAACUGGAAUCCAAUGUAUGUGAG